rnacentral:rRNA from 1 species
CCUACGGGAGGCAGCAGCAAGGAAUCUUCCGCAAUGGGCGAAAGCCUGACGGAGCAACGCCGCGUGGGGGAUGAAGCCUUUCGGGGUGUAAACCUCUUUUCUCGGGGACGAAGAUCUGACGGUACCCGAGGAAUAAGGACCGGCUAACUACGUGCCAGCAGCCGCGGUAAUACGUAGGGUCCGAGCGUUGUCCGGAGUUACUGGGCGUAAAGCGCGCGCAGGUGGCGUCGCAAGUCUGGCGUGAAAGCCCCCGGCUCAACCGGGGAGGGUCGUCGGAUACUGCGGUGCUUGAGGGAGGCAGGGGUCGGUGGAAUGCCCGGUGUAGUGGUGAAAUGCGUAGAGAUCGGGCGGAACACCCGUGGCGAAGGCGGCCGACUGGGCCUAACCUGACACUGAGGCGCGAAGGCGUGGGGAGCGAACGGGAUUAGAUACCCUAGUAGUC